AGCACCGCCACGGUAAUACGAAGGGGGCUAGCGUUGUUCGGAUUUACUGGGCGUAAAGCGCACGUAGGCGGAUCGAUCAGUCAGGGGUGAAAUCCCAGAGCUCAACUCUGGAACUGCCUUUGAUACUGUCGAUCUGGAGUAUGGAAGAGGUGAGUGGAGUUCCGAGUGUAGAGGUGAAAUUCGUAGAUAUCGGAAGGAACACCUGUGGCGAAAGCGGCUCACUGGACAUUUACUGACGCUGAUGCACGAAAGCUAGGGGAGCAAACAGGAUUAGAUACCCCGGUAGUCCCUGUCUCUUAUACA
rnacentral:rRNA from 1 species